AAAGGAGACCUACCCACUCAGAUAUCGAAAACAUUCUUGUAAUUAGGUAUUGAGUUGGUCAUCCUUAAGGUCGGUCGCGACAAUUGUAAUCUAUCUUUCAAACUAUAUUUUGGUUCAAAUUGGGCUAUUAGCUCAGGUGGUUAGAGCGCACCCCUGAUAAGGGUGAGGUCCCUGGUUCGAGUCCAGGAUGGCCCACCUGAAGCAAUGCAAAAUAAAAAAUGAGAAAUUUAAGCUAACCCUUGAAUUGGAAAUUUAUUUUGAAUUGUUGAGGGGGUUUAGCUCAGUUGGUAGAGCGCCUGCAAUGCAUUGCAGGAUGUCAGCGGUUCGAGUCCGCUAACCUCCACCAGUAGUAUAUUUACGAGGAAAAUUCAGCAACUGAGCAACAUUUGCCAGACUGCUGGAUGUAUUUCCAGCCAUAGAACCUUGAAAACUGCAUAG
rnacentral:tRNA from 1 species